rnacentral:rRNA from 1 species
CCUACGGGUGGCAGCAGUGGGGAAUAUUGGGCAAUGGGCGCAAGCCUGACCCAGCAACGCCGCGUGAAGGAAGAAGGCUUUCGGGUUGUAAACUUCUUUUCUCAGGGACGAAGCAAGUGACGGUACCUGAAGAAUAAGCCACGGCUAACUACGUGCCAGCAGCCGCGGGAAUACGUAGGUGGCAAGCGUUAUCCGGAUUUAAUGGUUGUAAGGGUCGUGUAGGCGGGGACGCAAGUCAGAUGUGAAGACAAUGGGCUCAACCGUGGGACUGCAUUUGAUACUGGGUUUCUUGAGUACUGGAGAGGUAGACGGAAUGCCUGGUGUAGCGGUGAAAUGCGUAGAUAUCAGGAGGAACACCGGUGGCGAAGGCGGUCUGCUGGACAGCAACUGACGCUGAGGCGCGAAAGCGUGGGGAGCAAACAGGAUUAGAUACCCCUGUAGUC